rnacentral:rRNA from 1 species
CGCUGGCGGCGUGCCUAACACAUGCAAGUCGAACGAGAAAGGGUAGCAAUACCUGAGUAAAGUGGCGCACGGGUGAGUAACACGUGACUAACCUACCCUGGAGUGGGGGAUAACUGAGGGAAACCUUAGCUAAUACCGCAUAACACCUACGGGUCAAAGGAGCAAUUCGCUUUGGGAGGGGGUCGCGGCCGAUUAGUUAGUUGGCGGGGUAAUGGCCCACCAAGACGAUGAUCGGUAUCCGGCCUGAGAGGGCGCACAGACACACUGGAACUGAAACACGGUCCAGACUCCUACGGGAGGCAGCAGUGGGGAAUUUUGCGCAUUGGGGGAAACCCUGACGCAGCAACGCCGCGUGGAGGAUGAAGUCCUUCGGGACGUAAACUCCUUUUCGAUCGGGACGAUUAUGACGGUACCGGAAGAAGAAGCCCCGGCUAACUUCGUGCCAGCAGCCGCGGUAGUACGAGGGGGGCGAGCGUUGUUCGGAAUUAUUGGGCGUAAAGGGUGCGUAGGCGGUUUGGUAAGUCUCUUGUGAAAACUCCGGGCUCAACUCGGAGCCUGCAGGAGAAACUGCCGGGCUUGAGUGUGGGAGAGGUGAGUGGAAUUCCUGGUGUAGCGGUGAAAUGCGUAGAUAUCAGGGGGAACACCUGUGGCGAAAGCGGCUCACUGGACCACAACUGACGCUGAUGCACGAAAGCUAGGGGAGCAAACAGGAUUAGAUACCCUGGUAGUCCUAGCCCUAAACGAUGACUGCUUGGUGUGACGGGUACCCAAUCCCGCCGUGCCGUAGCUAACGCGUUAAGCAGUCCGCCUGGGGAGUACGGUCGCAAAGCUGAAACUCAAAGGAAUUGACGGGGGCCCGCACAAGCGGUGGAGCAUGUGGUUUAAUUCGACGCAACGCGAAGAACCUUACCUGGGCUCGAAAUGUUAUGGACCGGGGUAGAAAUAUCCCUUCCCCGCAAGGGGCCGUAAUAUAGGUGCUGCAUGGCUGUCGUCAGCUCGUGUCGUGAGAUGUUGGGUUAAGUCCCGCAACGAGCGCAACCCUUAUCUUCAGUUGCUACCAUUUAGUUGAGCACUCUGACGAAACCGCCUCGGAUAACAGGGAGGAAGGUGGGGAUGACGUCAAGUCCUCAUGGCCUUUAUGUCCAGGGCUACACACGUGCUACAAUGGCCGGUACAAACCGUCGCAAACCCGUGAGGGGGAGCUAAUCGGAAAAAGCCGUCCUCAGUUCGGAUCGUAGUCUGCAACUCGACUACGUGAAGCUGGAAUCGCUAGUAAUCGCGGAUCAGAAUGCCGCGGUGAAUACGUUCCCGGGCCUUGUACAC